rnacentral:rRNA from 1 species
UACGUAGGGUGCAAGCGUUAAUCGGAAUUACUGGGCGUAAAGCGUGCGCAGGCGGUUAUGUAAGACAGAUGUGAAAUCCCCGGGCUCAACCUGGGACCUGCAUUUGUGACUGCAUAGCUGGAGUACGGUAGAGGGGGAUGGAAUUCCGCGUGUAGCAGUGAAAUGUGUAGAGAUCGGGAGGAACACCGGUGGCGAAGGCGGUCUUCUGGACGGUGACUGACGCUGAGGCGCGAAGCGUGGGGAGCAAACGGG